rnacentral:rRNA from 1 species
ACCAUGUCCGCGUGCUUAUACAUGCAAGUCGAGCGGACAGAAGGGAGCUCGCUUCCCGGAUGUUAGCGGCGGACGGGUGUAGUAACACGUGGGUAACCUGCCUCGUAAGUACUCGGGAUAACUCCGGGAAACCGGAGCUAAUACCGGAUAGUUCCUUGAACCGCAUGGUUCAAGGAUGAAAGACGGUUUCGGCUGUCACUUACAGAUGGACCCGCGGCGCAUUAGCUAGUUGGUGAGGUAACGGCUCACCAAGGCGACGAUGCGUAGCCGACCUGAGAGGGUGAUCGGCCACACUGGGACUGAGACACGGCCCAGACUCCUACGGGAGGCAGCAGUAGGGAAUCUUCCGCAAUGGACGAAAGUCUGACGGAGCAACGCCGCGUGAGUGAUGAAGGUUUUCGGAUCGUAAAGCUCUGUUGUUAGGGAAGAACAAGUGCAAGAGUAACUGCUUGCACCUUGACGGUACCUAACCAGAAAGCCACGGCUAACUACGUGCCAGCAGCCGCGGUAAUACGUAGGUGGCAAGCGUUGUCCGGAAUUAUUGGGCGUAAAGGGCUCGCAGGCGGUUUCUUAAGUCUGAUGUGAAAGCCCCCGGCUCAACCCGGGGAGGGUCAUUGGAAACUGGGAAACUUGAGUGCAGAAGAGGAGAGUGGAAUUCCACGUGUAGCGGUGAAAUGCGUAGAGAAUGUGGAGGAACACCAGUGGCGAAGGCGACUCUCUGGUCUGUAACUGACGCUGAGGAGCGAAAGCGUGGGGAGCGAACAGGAUUAGAUACCCUGGUAGUCCACGCCGUAAACGAUGAGUGCUAAGUGGGUUAGGGGGUUUCCGCCCCUUAGUGCUGCAGCUAACGCAUUAAGCACUCCGCCUGGGGGAGUACGGUCGCAAGACUGAAACUCAAAGGGAAUUGACGGGGGGCCGCACAAGCGGUGGAGCCAUGUGGUUUAAUUUCGAAGCAACGCGAAGAACCUUUACCAGGUCUUGACAUCCUCUGACAACCCUAGAGAUAGGGCUUUCCCUUCGGGGACAGAGUGACAGGUGAUGCCAUGAAGUCGUCAGCUCGUGUCGUGGAAGAAUGUGUUUGGGGUUAAGUUCGG